UUGGAGGGCAAGUCUGGUGCCAGCAGCCGCGGUAAUUCCAGCUCCAAUAGCGUAUAUUAAAGUUGUUGCAGUUAAAAAGCUCGUAGUUGAAUUUCGGGAUCAAUGUUUCGGUCAUGCCGUUGGUAUGUACUGAUAUUAUUGAUUUCUCACCUUCUAAAGAACCGUAAUGCCAUUAAUUUGGUGUUACGGGGAAUUAGGACUGUUACCUUGAAAAAAUUAGAGUGUUUAAAGCAGGCUCACGCUUGAAUACAUUAGCAUGGAAUAAUGAAAUAGGACAUCCGAUUCUAUUUUGUUGGUUUCUAGGAUCGAUGUAAUGAUCAAUAGGGAUAGUUGGGGGCAUUAGUAUUCAAUUGUCAGAGGUGAAAUUCUUGGAUUUAUUGAAGACUAACUACUGCGAAAGCAUUUGCCAAGGAUGUUUUCAUUAAUCAAGAACGAAAGUUAGGGGAUCGAAGACGAUCAGAUACCGACGUAGUCUUAACCAUAAACUAUGCCGACUAGGGAUCGGAUGAUGUUAAUUUUUUAAUGACUCAUUCGGCGCCUUACGGGAAACCAAAGUGUUUGGGUUC
rnacentral:rRNA from 1 species